AACGCUAGCUACAGGCUUAACACAUGCAAGUCGAGGGGAAACGACAUCGAAAGCUUGCUUUUGAUGGGCGUCGACCGGCGCACGGGUGAGUAACGCGUAUCCAACCUGCCCACCACUUGGGGAUAACCUUGCGAAAGUAAGACUAAUACCCAAUGACGUCUCUAGAAGACAUCUGAAAGAGAUUAAAGAUUUAUCGGUGAUGGAUGGGGAUGCGUCUGAUUAGCUUGUUGGCGGGGUAACGGCCCACCAAGGCGACGAUCAGUAGGGGUUCUGAGAGGAAGGUCCCCCACAUUGGAACUGAGACACGGUCCAAACUCCUACGGGAGGCAGCAGUGAGGAAUAUUGGUCAAUGGACGAGAGUCUGAACCAGCCAAGUAGCGUGCAGGAUGACGGCCCUAUGGGUUGUAAACUGCUUUUAUAAGGGAAUAAAGUGAGCCUCGUGAGGCUUUUUGCAUGUACCUUAUGAAUAAGGACCGGCUAAUUCCGUGCCAGCAGCCGCGGUAAUACGGAAGGUCCGGGCGUUAUCCGGAUUUAUUGGGUUUAAAGGGAGCGUAGGCCGGAGAUUAAGCGUGUUGUGAAAUGUAGGCGCUCAACGUCUGCACUGCAGCGCGAACUGGUUUCCUUGAGUACGCACAAAGUGGGCGGAAUUCGUGGUGUAGCGGUGAAAUGCUUAGAUAUCACGAAGAACUCCGAUUG
rnacentral:rRNA from 1 species